GGAAAAUUUAAGAGAAAAUGGCCGUCUCUCUGGAAGGUUGAGAGAGAAACUUUAAGACAAUAAAAUCUUAAUUAUCGGCCAAAUUUGAAAUAUAUUUAGUUAAAUAAAAGGCAGAAACAUGACAUCAAUACAUUGUGUGGUCCAUCCACUCCCUGGAAGCGAUACACAGCUCAACGAUAGGAUUAGAGAAGUAGCCGAGAGGAUCAGCCAUCAUGGCUUUAAUAGUCCACCUGCCUUCAGCUGCCCUCACAAACGUGACAGUCACACAAUGCGCAGUGGGGCCCAACUACAUGGCUUUCUUGUUGGAGGAUGGGCGAGUCUGUAGACUCUCGUAUGGUAUUGCUGUUGACAAACUAGAUUUGAACAAGUCUGAUGGAAAAUCUAAGCCUGUGAGCCGGCCGGAGCGCAGUGAAAGGACUUCGGGAAUCCCAAGCAGGAGUAGCUCCUUGGUGGUAGAGAGUCCGAUGGUCCUGGUCUCUGAUGUGCUGGGGUCUAGUGCAGAUCCUCCCACAGGACGUUGGGGAAGCACCACCACCACAAUAACAGGGUCCACCACCACCCGCAGUCAACCGGCCUACAGCCGCAUGCAGAGGACCGUUCACGUCAGCCGAGGUCGAAGGUCAGGGGUCAUUGUGGGGAGUAGACCCCUUGUGCCUGCAUCUGUUGUACCAGAGGAUCUGAUAAGUCAGUGUCAAGUGGUCCUGCAAGGAAAGUCUCGCAAUUUGAUCAUUAGAGAAUUACAAAGAACUAACUUGGAUGUGAACCAGGCAGUGAAUAAUCUCCUGAGUCGUGAUGACGAGGGUGAGGUGGAGGAUGAUGACAGUCAGGACUCGUACAUGCCGGACGACCUGAUUUCGCUCCUGGACGGUGGGAUGCACUCAGAGCACCCCAGCGUCAUCAUUGACGCCGACACCAUGUACAAUGAGGACGUGUUUGGGUACUCCACACUCAGAAGUAGGGCGUCCAGCACCCGUCCCAGGCUAGGUGACAGAGACCGUGACUUAGACAGAGAGAGUAGGGAGUCGAUAUUCCGCAUCAGAGAUCGUAGACGCCUGGACACCACACUGAGAGACGAAACGCUGAAGUCACUGGAGCGUGACAAGGCCGAUUCCUUGUUGGAAGGAGAGAACCUGAAAAAACAGGCACUUCCCACACAGACCCCGGUCAACUUUGGAGACGACGUGCAUUUCCUGAUGGAGAAGGAUGGAACCCACUCAACAUUCACCCACAUUGCUGCUAUGCACUCUGACCUGGUUGCCGUGGGAACAGAUGGACAGCUGUACAGCUGGAAAUGGAAUGAGGCAGAACCAUACAAACAGCAUGAUAAUCCCAGUAUUCGUCAUCCAAAGGUGAUUCCACUCGGUCUACAGAAUGAGAGGAUCAUGGGAUUGUCUGCCUGUGGGGUUAGAGCCUCUGUCUUCACCGAGUCCAACAAAGUGGCCACCUGGGUGGAUGACACCCUGAACAGCGUGGCCUCCAAACUAGAACACCCAGCUCAGACCUUCCCAGAGUUCCAAACGGACAAGAUCGUCUCUCUCCACACAUGCUCACUGUACACCUGUGCCAGGCUGGAGAGUAGCGCCCUCUACUGGUGGGGAAUCAUGCCGUUCGGACAGAGGAAAAAAAUGUUAGAGAAAACCAAGAAAAAGAAGAGUAAAGAUGGAUCUGUUUGCAGUGAUAUGGCUGCUGGCUCGCUGGUUUGCCUGAGGAGUUCACCCAUGUACCACAGUGGAGCCCUGGCCUUUGCCACAGUCGAUGGUGUCCCAAAAGUAGGUCAGCUGCUGGAGAGUGCCUGGUCGCUGUCUGAUACGUGUCGCUUCAAAAUCCUCAAACAGACCCCUCUAGAACCCAAACCUGAGGUGAAGAUUGAGGUGAAAUCCUGUGAUGUGAAGCCAGACAUGCCCCCACCCCCCUCUCCAGACUCGUCAACUUGUAGUGACCAUAGCGGCCCCACGCUCAUCAGUACAUCACUCAAGCGCAAAAAGGCACCAACUCCAUUAAAGGACUUUGAGAAAAAGGAUGAGGAAAACUGGCCACUGAAGAAUGUUAUAUUUGUGGAGGAUGUCAAAACUGUGCCCAUGGGCAAAGUUGUGAAGGUAGACGGAGCUUACGCUGUGGUCAAGUUCCAGUCCCGGGAUGCCCUGGAUUCGGGACUUGGGAGGGAGGACCCAGUCAGCAUGCUACAGGACUGUCGGAUACUCAGGAAGGACGAGCUACAGGUGUUGAAGAGUGCCAAUGCCCCCCGCUUGCCUGACUGUUUCCAGAAGACUCCAAAGAAGGUGACCCUGACAGAGAGUGGUCAGAUACUGGCAGUAGCUGUUGAUUGUGAAGGUAUACACCUGAUAGCCAGAUCUGGAUCACGGCUGAGCUACACCAUCUACAAUUUGACGACGGGGAAGGUGGAACAGGAUGCCACAUUUCCGACAGAUGCCCAGACAUUUCUUGGUGAAAACCGUAGCGACAUUACUUUACACAACACAGGAGAUGAGCUGCUGGUCCAGUUACAGGAUGGGAAUGGGGCCCUGUACCCCCUGGCCAAGGACUGUGCAGAGGGCAUACGUGACCCUCUGUGGUUAAACUUGCCCCCGGUCCGUGCACUUGGAAUCCGGGUCCAAUGUCUGAACCCUGUGGGUAACAACCUGAAGAACAAGGCCUGUGUACUAGUGCUGGCCGUAGAGCACCAGACCCUGAUACCACACAUUCUGCGCUGUGACGUAGAGAAGGUCAAGUCCAUUCUGUUGUCUCUGGAACAGGAGCAAGACUCUGCUGCUGUUCAGAAGAUGCAGCAGGACAUUACAAAGGAGCACUGUGAUGGGAACAGGAACAUCCUCCACACGUGUGUGGCAAUGUGUGCCCCCACCUCAAACAAAGACUAUGACCAGGAGCCUGUCCCACUGUCCACGGCUGCUGCCCCUGGGAACGCCACCACCAGCAGUAGUUCCUUUAGCUCCGCCCUGGAGGCCAUUAAUGCUGUCAGCAGUGCUGUGGAUGCGCUUAACGCCAUCCAGUCACGCACCAGCGACCCCAGCUCUAGAUGUGUGAGCCUGAGGGAGAUGAUGAAGCGAGCAUCGUCAGCAGCUCGAGCUGUCAGUGGUAUUGAUGUGAGAGAGUCAGAAGACAUGUCCAUACCAACCCUUCAGUGGCCUCCUGACCCCCCACCAAGCUAUGACACCCUGCAGCAAGAGCACAACAUUUCGCGCCAGUCAUCAUCCAGUGGUUUGGGUGCCCCCCUGGUGUCUGGAGAGUUCAGUACGGUGUCCAUCCCGCCAGUCAAACUGGAGGAGAAGGAGAGACGUGUCAAUGCCAUGGCCAUUCUCCGCCUCCUGUGUGACUGUCCACAGCUACAGCGCCACUUGGUGGAACUGCUCUCAGCAAGGAAUGCAGAUGGUUGUACAGUGUUCAUGCAGGCGGUGCGCAGCUGUUCCUAUGCAGCAGCAUUAGUGGUGUUGGAAACUGCUAAGAGGGUAGCCACCAAUGAGUCAGGCUGGCUGGACCGGGCCACAUUUAUGCAGAUGCUGUACCCCACAGGCUCCAGUUUGGACAACUCCCCCCUACAGAUGUUAUGUUGUAACGACACCUGUAGUUUUACCUGGACGGGAAGGGAACACAUCAAACAGGAUAUCUUUGAGUGUAAGACAUGUGGACUGGUGGGGUCCCUGUGUUGUUGUACCGAGUGUGCCCGCGUUUGUCACAGGGGACACGACUGCAAAAUGAAGCGGACCUCUCCGACAGCUUACUGUGACUGCUGGGAGAAAUGUAAAUGUAAGGCGCUGAUUGCCGGCCAACAACAGCCUCGCUUUGAGUUAUUGAACCGACUGUUGACAGAGACAGACCUGGUCAAGCUGCCCAACAGCAGGGGAGAGAACAUUCUUCUGUUCCUGGUACAGACUGUGGGUAGACAGCUAAUUGAACAGAGGCAGUACCGCCCAAACCGAUCACGGGUCCCCACCUCCAGAAAGGCUAUCCCCCAGGAUCCAGAUGCCGAGAUGCCAGAGCAUGACCUUGAACCUCCACGAUUCAGUCGGCGCUCGCUGGAGCGUAUCCUAAAUGAUUGGACAGCAGUCAAGUCCAUGAUCAGGAGCGGGAUGAAGGGAACCGUUUCACCAGACGUAGUAUACGAGGACCAGCUAUACCUGGACAGUCAGAGUGGGACAGCCAGACUGGACAAGUUCACCCACACCUUGCUGGUCAAGUGCAGCGUAGAGAUGCUGGAUACCUUGUUGACCACAUUGAUCAGAGAAAUGCAGAACGACAACGUCGAGGGAAGGAAGGCGGAGGCCAGGACCGUGACUCGCAGGUUUAUCAGGUCCGUGGCCAGGAUCUUUGUUGUUCUGAACAUCGAGAUGACACCAGCAACAAACAAAAAGAAAAGUUCCAGCAUCACAGCCUGCCAGCCCCUGGUAAGAUGUAAGCGAGCAUUCAAUGCGCUGAUCACUAUUGCUAUCGAGGAGCUGUGUGAGAUUGCCGAUUCUCUGAUUGCCCCGGUCAGGAUGGGGGUUCUUCGCCCCACUGCCCCAUUCACCCUGGCCACUGCUAACAUUGACGCCAUUCAGGGAAGCGAGGAGAUUUUUAACAUUGAUCCCCUGCCCCCCAGGUCCCACCCUGCUGACUCAGAAAACCACUCGGUGUCCUAUAUCUCCCACCCCCGCAUCUCCCAGAGUGAGGCCUCCCAGAGGGGCGGUCAGGAUCGGGAGGACGAUGAGAUGAUGCAGCAGGAGGAGGAGGCUGCAGAAGGAAUGGGUGGUGACGAUGACCAGUCGGAUCACGAGGAUCGAGAUGACCACCAAUCGGAACACUCUGACCAGGACCAGGUGGACAAUGAAGGAGGUGCUGCUGAGAGUGACAUGGACCUUGAUCUACUGGCCGAGUCAGAGAGUGACAGUGAGAGUAGUCAUAGCAACCAAGACAACGUCAGCGUGCAGCGGAGUGCUGUUACUGCGGCAACAGCAGGAUCUGAUGCAGGACUGGGAAGUUUGGCCCACUUUUCUGAGGAUUCCGGAGAAUCGUCCAAUCAGGAAGAAGAUUACGAAAGUGAGGGUGAGCAGAGUAAUGAAGGAAAUGAUGCAGACGAUAUAAAUUACAUCGAUGAACAGCUGGAGAGAUGUCAUACUUCAGGUUCACAUGGACAGAGGACACUACAGGCUCCCCAGACCAUGCAAUGGGCCAUCAGACAGAGGGAGACCCCCGCCGCCCGACCCCCACCUGCCUCGGGAACCACUACCACCACAGGGGGAACUGGUGGUCUAAUUUAUAUUGACCCUGCUACAAUGAGGAGAACCAACACAGUUACAACGGCAACAGUCCACCAUCACCAGGAGAAUCAGGUCACAAUGACGACCACGGCCAGUCAGCUGGCACGGGCCUUCAGUGUGGUGGUCAGGCAGGUGGCGGACCUGUUGACUAUGAUACAGGACUACAACGCCCUGGCUCCCGGCCUGCCCAGAGUCCUGGAGAUUUCUGACCAGGAAGCAAGUGAUUUACAGUGUUACACAGAGAUGCACCUCUCUCUGACCUGGGACUGGUUGAUUGACAUCAUGGACUCCACAGAGGCACAGUUAAGGUUUGGUGCUGCCCUCUGUCACACAACAGACCCAGCCAAUCCAAAUCAUCCGUUCCACUCCAAUUAUGUCCGCAACCUUAGGGAGCGCACCAACCGUGAGGAAAGCCGGAUUCUGCAGGCUCUUGACAGGCGCAGAGCCCGGUUUGGUGCUAUUGGAACUGAUGGUAACCUAGCUCGUCGAGAAUUCCUGAAUUACGCCCUGUCCCUAAUGAGAUCUCACAACGACGAGCACGCUGACUCACUUCCGAGUCUGGAUAUCUCGUCCAUGAGACAUGUGGCCUAUGUGUUUGAUUCCUUGAUUUAUUACAUGAGGAGUGGUAUUGACACAGAUGCCGAUGUCUUCAGAGAUGGAAUAUCUGUCAUCUCUUGGGAUCAUGAUGAAAAUGAGAAUGAUGAACAUGAUGAGGACCCAGUUACAAAUAUGUCCAUGGACAAUGAGAGUGUGGAUGGAGAAUCAGAUGUCACAACCAAAUCCGGCAGGAAGCAUCCAUUCUUCCAUCGAUCUGACUCCACAACCUUCCUUGGCUGUCCUCCACCAGAUCCAUUUCAAACUCCAUUGGUACAGGCUCUUCCAUUGGCUGAUCAGCCACAUCUCCUCCAACCAAAUGCCAGGAGAGAAGAUCUGUUUGGAAUGAUUCGUCAGACUGUGAUACCCUUUAGGUCAUCAUCCGAUAUGAAGUCUGCUCAAAAGAUGUCUGGCAGCAGAAACCAGUUUGACAAGCUUCCAAUCAGAAUGGCUCUCUCUGAGCGUCGCCCAGGCAGCUGCUUGAUUCAGCCAGGGACGUUACCCAUGGCAACAGUUCCUGGUCCACUGAAUCAGCCCGGACCUUCUCAUCUUCCGGAUGUAGCUUUCAGCAGUGCUAGUGUGAUAGUGAAGCCGCCCUCACAAACUUUGUCCACUCAGAUGGCUGCCAGUCAGCAAAGUGUGGACACUAAUUUAGUCAGCAGUAUUCCUCUUCCAGGACAGAGUGCAGAACCUUUUAAGUCCCAUGAAAUGUUAAAUCAAGCCAGUGUUAUUGUACAUUCCAGUGGUGCCCAAGGUCUGCAGGUGCCUGGACCAGCUUAUUCUGGUUCCCCUCUCCCUGACCCCCGGUACGUACCAGGGGACAGGCGUGCUGACCAAGUCAGCCAGGCCAACACCCAAUCAUCAUCACAGGACAGGAGCCUGGACACCCAGUCCCCGUCUAUGGGCUCUCUCCCCACAGAUUCCUCUGGGACCUCCUUGAUGUCCGGGGUUACAACACAGUGUAGUACUGGUGGAACCUCGUCCCUGGCAAAGAGUAGUACAGAGAGCAGUGGAGUGUCCAUGGACGCCUUACAGGGAGCUAUGAUGGAGUCACGGUCCCUACAGUCCCUGUCCUCAGAGAGCAUGUCUGACUCCGCCCCCUUCCCUGACCAGACCCCAGGGCCAUCCACCAUGGAGAUGGCUGACCAGAGACCCCAGUCCUCUAGUGAUGGACCCUCCAUGCAGGCCAGCUACAAUGACUCUCUGCCACCAAGCUCUGUGGACAAUGGACUAGAUCUUGUGGGAGCUCAUGAGAAUGUGUGUAACACGGUGGACAUAGAAACCUCAGCUGUCCCCCCAGGUCUGGGACCUGUCAGGAUGAAUCCUCUCAGUAAUUUGGUGUCACAUGACGUGUUGCUGGGCCGCUGGCGCUUGGCCCUGGACCUGUUUGGGCGUGUCUUCUGCGAUGAUGUGGGCUCGGAGCCAGGGUCAGUCAUCAGUGAACUCGGGGGUUUCCCUGUCAAGGAAAGCAAGUUCCGGCGAGAAAUGGAGAAAAUCCGAAACUCUCAGCAAAGGGACAUCAUUUUAGAUGUGGAGAGAGACAGAAAUUUGCUGAUCGUGCAGUCUUUCAAACAACUGAACACUCAGUAUAACAGGAGAACCAACACUAGUGGUCCCCCACUGGCUGUACAUAGGGUCAAGGUCACCUUCAAGGACGAGCCAGGGGAGGGAAGUGGAGUCGCUCGGAGCUUCUACACUGCCAUAGCUAACGCUGUUUUGUCGCAAGAGAAGCUUCCUUCCCUGGACGGUGUGCUGAUUGGUGGCAAAAACCUACAGUACAAUUUACUACAAAGAGCCAGAUCAAGGGAAAGGGAGAGAGAGAGACAGCGAACCAGUCUACGUAGGCAGAGGAGCAGGGAGAGGGAUACGCGGCGUAACCUGUCCUACGAUGCCCCGCCCUUCUACAUGCCAGCCGACGCCCCUACCUCCAACAAUAAUCCAAGCUCUGCUGGACCGCCAUCCUCGGACUCCAGCUCGGAUGGGGCCCCUGACACAGUGUCACAGUACCGCAGACAGUUGGGGGAGAGGCUCUACCCUAAAGUUCGGGCACUGCAACCCUCCCUGGCACCCAAGAUUACGGGGAUGUUACUGGAGCUGUCUCCCGCCCAACUGUUACUGAUGCUGACCUCUGAGGAGACACUGAGACAGAGGGUGGAUGAGGCUGUAGAUAUCAUCAUGUCACAUGGGAGGGAGUUGAGUGCAGAGGCCCUUUUAGACUUGGACAUCUUUAAUCUGUCAGCCAAUGACAAGAAGAAGAAAUCGACAGAGCGUAAAGCGGAAGUGGAAGAAGAGGAGGAACUGGAAGAUAACAGUCCACUGUUCUGGCAGCCCGGAAAACGGGGCUUCUACUCUCCCCGCCCAGGCAAAAGUGCUCCUGAGAGGCUCAAUGCAUUUAGGAAUGUGGGAAGGAUAAUCGGCCUUUGCUUGUUACAAAAUGAGAUGUGCCCACUGUUCCUGAAUCGCCACGUCCUGAAGUACAUCCUGGGCCGUAAGAUUGGCUGGCAUGACCUGGCCUUCUUCGACCCAGUCAUGUACGAGAGUCUCCGACAGCUGGUCCUGGACUCUGAGCACAAAGACGCCUCCGUCCUCUUUGCUGCCUUGGACAUGAACUUCUUUGUACAACUUGGAGCAGAGGAGGGUGGGGAGGAGGUGGAACUGAUCCCUGGGGGUAAUGAUAUUGAGGUCAACGCCCAAAAUGUCCAUGAUUAUGUGCGGCGAUAUGCAGAGUUCAGAAUGACCAAAGUUCUGGACAAGGCUCUCAAGCACAUAAAGCUGGGCGUGUUUGACGUAAUCCCCAGUAACUCCCUGGAGGGCCUGACUGCCGAGGACCUGAGACUCCUGUUGAAUGGGGUAGGAGACAUCAAUGUCCAGACCCUCAUUAGCUACACCUCCUUCAAUGACGAGAGCGGUGAGAACAAUGACAAGGUGCAGAGAUUUAAGCGAUGGUUCUGGUCCGUUGUGGAGAAAAUGAACAACCAGGAAAGACAAGAUAUGGUGUACUUCUGGACAUCCAGUCCAGCUCUUCCUGCUAGUGAGGAGGGAUUUCAGCCGAUGCCCAGCAUCACAAUACGCCCCGCGGACGACGACCAUCUUCCCACGGCCAACACCUGUAUAUCACGGCUAUAUAUACCGCUGUAUUCAUCCAAGGUGGUGCUACGCAGUAAAAUCAUCCUGGCCAUUAAAACAAAGGCAUUUGGAUUUGUGUAGCCUCGGUGUGUCUGACUCACAUUUCAUAUCUCUAUCAGUAUGACACAUGCACACAUUUGUGAGAAUAGGACAGUUAUUGAGAUUUACUCAGCACUGGAGGAAAGCUUAGAAUGAAUAAAAAAGUACUUUAAAGAUUUUACAAGGUCUUACCUUUGAAGAAAUCUUCAGUUUUUCAUAGAGAAAAAUGAAAAAUACGUGUUCUAAUCAUGGUGUUCAAUAUCUUUUUUGUUUUAAAUCUUAUAAAUGUAAUAUGUGAGUCUGUGUGCUUGUAUGUAAUCUGUGAUGUUUGUGUGUUUAUGUAGAAAGCAAAGAGAUGCUGAUGAUAAUUGAAUAAUGUAUCGAUUAAAUCUGAAAGAAUCCAGA
rnacentral:sRNA from 1 species